GACAACGUGGCCGAGCGGUUAAGGCGAUUGACUAGAAAUCAAUUGGGAUAUUCUCGCGUAGGUUCAAAUCCUGCCGUUGUCG
rnacentral:tRNA from 1 species